GAUGAACGCUGGCGGCGUGCCUAAUACAUGCAAGUCGAGCGAACAGACGGGGAGCUUGCUCCUCUGACGUUAGCGGCGGACGGGUGAGUAACACGUGGAUAACCUACCUAUAAGACUGGGAUAACUUCGGGAAACCGGAGCUAAUACCGGAUAAUAUAUUGAACCGCAUGGUUCAAUAGUGAAAGACGGUUUUGCUGUCACUUAUAGAUGGAUCCGCGCCGCAUUAGCUAGUUGGUAAGGUAACGGCUUACCAAGGCAGCGAUGCGUAGCCGACCUGAGAGGGUGAUCGGCCACACUGGAACUGAGACACGGUCCAGACUCCUACGGGAGGCAGCAGUAGGGAAUCUUCCGCAAUGGGCGAAAGCUUGACGGAGCAACGCCGCGUGAGUGAUGAAGGUCUUCGGAUCGUAAAACUCUGUUAUUAGGGAAGAACAAAUGUGUAAGUAACUAUGCACGUCUUGACGGUACCUAAUCAGAAAGCCACGGCUAACUACGUG
rnacentral:rRNA from 1 species